AGCGAACGCUGGCGGCAGGCUUAACACAUGCAAGUCGAGCGCCUCGCAAGAGGAGCGGCAGACGGGUGAGUAACGCGUGGGAAUCUACCCAUCUCUACGGAACAACUCCGGGAAACUUGAGCUAAUACCGGAUACGCCUAACGGGGAAAGAUUUAUUGCCGAAGGAACGGCCCGCGUCCGAUUAGCUAGUUGGUGAGGUAACGGCUCACCAAGGCGACGAUCGGUAGCUGGUCUGAGAGGAUGACCAGCCUCAUUGGGACUGAGACACGGCCCAAACUCCUACGGGAGGCAGCAGUGGGGAAUAUUGGACAAUGGGCGCAAGCCUGAUCCAGCCAUGCCGCGUGAUGAUGAA
rnacentral:rRNA from 1 species